rnacentral:rRNA from 1 species
UACGUAGGGCGCGAGCGUUAAUCGGAAUUACUGGGCGUAAAGCGCGCGUAGGCUGUUGUGUAAGUUGGGGGUGAAAUCCCACGGCUCAACCGUGGAACAGCCCUUGAUACUGCGCGACUUGAAUCCGGGAGAGGGUGGCGGAAUUCCAGGUGUAGGAGUGAAAUCCGUAGAUAUCUGGAGGAACAUCAGUGGCGAAGGCGGCCACCUGGACCGGUAUUGACGCUGAGGCGCGAAAGCGUGGGGAGCAAACAGG